rnacentral:rRNA from 1 species
ACAGGAUUCCCCUAGUAACUGCGAGUGAAGCGGGAAAAGCUCAAAUUUAAAAUCUGGCAGUCUUUGGCUGUCCGAGUUGUAAUCUAGAGAAGUAUUAUCCGCGCUGGACCGUGUACAAGUCCCCUGGAAUGGGGCGUCAUAGAGGGUGAGAAUCCCGUCUUUGACACGGACUGCCAGGGCUUUGUGAUGUGCUCUCAAAGAGUCGAGUUGUUUGGGAAUGCAGCUCAAAAUGGGUGGUAAAUUCCAUCUAAAGCUAAAUAUUGGCGAGAGACCGAUAGCGAACAAGUACCGUGAGGGAAAGAUGAAAAGAACUUUGGAAAGAGAGUUAAACAGUACGUGAAAUUGCUGAAAGGGAAACGCUUGAAGUCAGUCGCGUUGGCCAGGGAUCAACCUUGCUUUUUUGCUUGGCUUACUUUCUGGUCGAUGGGUCAGCAUCAAUUUUGACUGGUGGAAAAAGUUCAAGGGAAUGUGGCAUCUUCGGAUGUGUUAUAGCCUUUGUUCACAUACAUCAGUUGGGAUUGAGGAACUCAGCACGCCGCAAGGCCGGGUUUUUAACCACGUACGUGCUUAGGAUGCUGGCAUAAUGGCUUUAAUCGACCCGUCUUGAAACACGGACCAAGGAGUCUAACAUGCCUGCGAGUGUUUGGGUGAAAAACCCGAGCGCGUAAUGAAAGUGAAAGUUGAGAUCCCUGUCGUGGGGAGCAUUGACGCCCGGAUCUGACCUUUUGUGACGAUUCUGCGGUAGAGCAUGUAUGUUGGGACCCGAAAGAUGGUGAACUAUGCCUGAAUAGGGUGAAGCCAGAGGAAACUCUGGUGGAGGCUCGUAGCGAUUCUGACGUGCAAAUCGAUCGUCAAAUUUGGGUAUAGGGGCGAAAGACUAAUCGAACCAUC